rnacentral:rRNA from 1 species
UACGUAGGGCGCAAGCGUUGUCCGGAAUUAUUGGGCGUAAAGAGCUCGUAGGCGGCUUGUCACGUCGGGUGUGAAAGCCCGGGGCUUAACCCCGGGUCUGCAUUCGAUACGGGCAGGCUAGAGUGUGGUAGGGGAGAUCGGAAUUCCUGGUGUAGCGGUGAAAUGCGCAGAUAUCAGGAGGAACACCGGUGGCGAAGGCGGAUCUCUGGGCCUUACCUGACGCUGAGGAGCGAAAGCGUGGGGAGCGAACAGG